rnacentral:lncRNA from 1 species
AGUUCUGCUGCGAGUGCUGCCGGCAGUCGGCCCGGGUUGAGCUGUCCAUUCGUCCAGGUGCUGAAGCUGGUGGAACAUUGGGGUUCUCUGGCCGCCAUGGCACUCAAUCAUACCACCUAGAGUGGACUGGCCGAGACCAGACUGGGUACCAAGCAGAGAAGUGCAGAGGAAAGCACUGGGAGAGCACCAGAAUUGGAAAUAGAGCGGCCAUUUGGAUUUGGGCAGGAAGCAGCCGAGCACAGCUUUGGAUCCUUCUUUAGGGAAAUCGAGUUAUGGAUUUAUGGUCCCGGUCAAGCUCAGCCCAUCCCCAGGCAGGGGCGGGCUCAGCGAGCAGCAAGAGUUCUGGUGGCGGCGGCGGCGGCAGUAGCAGCGGCAGCGGUAGCAGCGGCAGCGGUAGCAGCGGCAGCGGCAGCUUGGUCCUCUGACUCUCUUCGGUGACGGGUAUUCUUGGGUGGAUAAUACGGAUUACGUUGUUAUUGCUUAAGAAUACGCGUAGUCGAGGAGAGUACCAGCGGC